CCCAGUAAACGGCGGCCGUAACUAUAACGGUCCUAAGGUAGCGAAAUUCCUUGUCAGGUAAGUUCUGACCCGCACGAAAGGUGUAAUGAUUUGAGCACUGUCUCGACAACACGCCCGGUGAAAUUGAAGAACCAGUGAAGAUACUGGUUACCCGCAACAGGACGGAAAGACCCCAUGGAGCUUUACUGCAGCUUAAUAUUGGGAUUCGGUAUUGUAUGUACAGGAUAGGAGGGAGACUAAGAAGCUUGCACGCCAGUGUAGGUGGAGUCGAUGUUGGGAUACCUCUCUUAUAAUACUGAAUUUCUAACCUACCGCCAUAAUCUGGUGGAGGGACAUUGUUAGGCGGGCAGUUUGACUGGGGCGGUCGCCUCCGAAAGAGUAACGGAGGCGCUCAAAGGUCUUCUCAGAAUGAUUGGAAACCAUUCAAAGAGUGUAAAGGCAGAAGAAGGCUUGACUGCGAGAGCGACGGUUCGAGCAGGUACGAAAGUAGGACUUAGUGAUCCGGUGGUAACACGUGGGAGUGCCAUCGCUUAACGGAUAAAAGCUACCCUGGGGAUAACAGGCUUAUCUCCCCCAAGAGUUCACAUCGACGGGGAGGUUUGGCACCUCGAUGUCGGCUCAUCGCAUCCUGGAGCUGAAGUCGGUUCCAAGGGUUGGGCUGUUCGCCCAUUAAAGCGGUACGCGAGCUGGGUUCAGAACGUCGUGAGACAGUUCGGUCCCUAUCCGUUGUGGGCGUAGGAAAUUUGAGAGGAGCUGUCCUUAGUACGAGAGGACCGGGAUGGACGAACCUCUGGUGUAUCUGUUGGUAACCAAUGCCACGGCAGAGUAGCCAAGUUUGGAAGGGAUAAACGCUGAAGGCAUCUAAGCGUGAAGCCCCCCUCAAGACUAGAUUUCCCAUCCUACGGGAGUAAGAACCCUUACAGACGAUAAGGUUGAUAGGCUGGAGAUGUAAGCACAGUAAUGUGUUGAGUUGACCAGUACUAAUAGUUCGAGGGCUUGUCUAA
rnacentral:rRNA from 1 species